GGACAUGAAUUUUUUUUUUUUUUUCUCCAAGUCAAUAUGGAUAAAUGAAUUGAUAUCACACUUGUUAAUUGUGACAGAUAGCAUUAACCUCUAUUAUUUCAAAACUUAUUAAAUGAUUUUCUGUUCAAUCAUUGUAAUUGACAAUUAGUAUUUUUUUUAUCUUCCUUGAAAUUUGUCCAGAUUUGAAAAAUUCUAUAUCACGG
rnacentral:misc_RNA from 1 species